GCCAAGACCUUAUUCCCCUCCCCCACCUUCCCCAACCAAAUGUGAGUGGUGGCUGGCAGCCGUGCUACAAUACGGCCUUGACACUUUGAUGCUGGGGUUGUUGAUAAGGGAGGUUUCAUCUGGGCAGUGAGGACACAGCCAUCCGCACAUUUCGAGAGAUGCUAUCCAUCUCAAGGCUGGACAUGAUAAAGCACAAGGAAUACAGAAGAGGGUAUUUGGGAACUCAAGCUGAAGGCAACACUGACGGAAAGUGCAAGACACCCAUUCAUAAGAGCAAGGGCUGCACAUGGAGUAAAAGUGGUUUCACUUGAAUUUAAGCUAAACAAUGUGUGGGAUGUAAUGCUGAAAAACACUAUACAAUACUUGUCAAUGUUUUUUUUUUCAGUGGUAGUGUGUUGUUGACAAAAUGACAAUUUAUUCAGACUGUAAUGUGGCCUAUUAAAAGAUUAUUAAAGUUUACAGCAUGGGACUUA